UGGGGAAUAUAUAUAACAUGUUAUUAUGCUUUUAAAAGAAAGAAAAGACAAAGACAGAGCAAAGAUAGUCGGGUAAGUUUGAACCUUAUCGGCCAAGGCUGAACUUCUUACAAAAUCUAUCUUUGUGGCUCUGUCAGAGGUCUAAAAGCUUUUAGAGGGGUUGACAGGGGAGAAGAGGAUACAAAAUGAAUCGAUACCACCAAGAACAAGGUAGCAGAGCUAUUACAGGGGUUUGGGAAGGUUUAUCCCGAAUGGGAUGAAAGCUUGUGCUGACUACAGCUUCGUUGAAGGCAAAUCUGGCUUGAGCAGAGUUUUGGCUUUUGUUUGUUUGAUUGAGUGUCUUUAAUUCUGUCUUCUCUUCCUCCUUUUAUAGACGACUUCAGCUUGGGUUCCUGUAGCAAUAGCGGUGCCCGAAUGCGGUUUGGUGAUGACUCACUAGCUUUUUUACAUGAAUGCCACCAAUAAAGUACUUUAUUGGGCUAU
rnacentral:lncRNA from 1 species